rnacentral:rRNA from 1 species
GUAGGUGGCAAGCGUUGUCCGGAAUUAUUGGGCGUAAAGCGCGCGCAGGCGGUUCUUUAAGUCUGAUGUGAAAGCCCACGGGCUCAACUGUGGAGGGUCAUUGGAAACUGGAGAACUUGAGUACAGAAGAGGAAAGCGGAAUUCCACGUGUAGCGGUGAAAUGCGUAGAGAUGUGGAGGAACACCAGUGGCGAAGGCGGCUUUCUGGUCUGUAACUGACGCUGAGGCGCGAAAGCGUGGGGAGCAAACAGGAUUAGAUACCCUGGUAGUCCACGCCGUAAACGAUGAGUGCUAAGUGUUAGGGGGUUUCCGCCCCUUAGUGCUGCAGCUAACGCAUUAAGCACUCCGCCUGGGGAGUACGGCCGCAAGGCUG